AUGGUUCCCUUAUCUGAUGAUGAGAUUUGGCAGGUGAUUAGCUUGGCUAACCCGCAGGCUGCUUCCGGCCCUGAUGGCUUCUCGAUCCCCUUCUUCAAAAAAUUCUGGCCGCAGUUGCGGCCUCUCAUUUGUUCGAUCAUCCAAGGGUUCUGGUUGGGUACGGUGGACAUUUCUCGCCUUAACUGCGCUGUCAUUACCCUUAUUCCUAAAGUCAAGGGCGCGGAUUUGAUCUCGCAAUUUAGGCCGAUCGCCCUUAUUAAUAACUUUGCCAAGUUUCCGGCUAAAGGAUUAGCCACUCGUCUCUCCCCCAUUGCCCACCGUACCAUUAGCCCUUUCCAGUCGGCUUUCAUCAAGGGUCGUUUCAUUCUGGACGGGGUCCUCUGUUUGCAUGAAAUCGUUCAUGAUCUUAAGAUUCGUAAGUCGAAAGCGGUGAUUCUAAAAUUAGACUUUGAGAAGGCCUAUGACUCGGUGAGCUGGCAUUUUCUGCGUAGAGUUUUA
rnacentral:rRNA from 1 species